rnacentral:lncRNA from 1 species
UGCGCUCCUUGGUACUUUCGUUGGAGGACUCAAGGAAGAGAUUGCAAAGAAGAUAUGCAUGAGACGACCCCAUUCUUUGCAAGAAGCAACUAUGAGUGUUCGAAUGUGGGAGAAGAGGUUGGAGCAAAAGUAAAAAGCAGCCCAUAGCGGUGAACUUUCGAACCCGUUUACUUUGCAUUGCUACUUUUUGCUCCAGUAUCGAUCCGACACAUAUUAUGGGAGGAUAUGCAGCAUUGUUGGGAACGAGGACUUUACUUCAAAUGCAACGAGAAGUUUACUUUAGGGCAUCGGAGCAAGACUCUGCAAGCCUAUCUGAUAGAAGUAGAUCGCAUGGAGGAUGUGAAAGGACCUAGCGGAGGCGAAGUCGACCAUCAUGGUGAUGGAGCUAGCAACCAUCAAAUAUUAUCGUUGGAAAGCAAAUCUUGUGGACACAGUUUUGGUUGAAGGGGAAAGAAAUGAUGGGUGCUUCAGAUCCUGACAAGUUUGGAAGCCGAACUCAUGCACGGCAGCCACCGCGUCAGAACUGUGGGGAGCGGAGGGUAGUUCAGCGAUGAGGCAAGUACGUGGAAAGGAGGAGAGCCAUGAUGGGAGUGGGAGGAAGAAUAGUUCGGUUGCCGUGACGAUGGAGGAAGCAGGAGAUGCUUGGAACUGGGAGCGGAAGCCCGGCACGCAGACUAGGCACGAAGUCAUGGAUGUGAGAAGAGGUUCGAUGCCAUGCAUGCAGGUUCGACACGAAG